rnacentral:rRNA from 1 species
GCUCGUAGUUGGAUUUGUGGUGUGUCCAGUUGGCCUUUGCUCUUUGAGUGAUAGUGCUUUACUGGUCUGCCAUGUUUGGGUGGAAUCUGUGUGGCAUUAAGUUGUCGUGCAGGGGAUGCCCAUCGUUUACUGUGAAAAAAUUAGAGUGUUCAAAGCAGGCUUAUGCCUCUGAAUAUAUUAGCAUGGAAUAAUGAUAUAGGACCUUGGUACUAUUUUGUUGGUUUGCGCACUGAGGUAAUGAUUAAGAGGGACAGUUGGGGGUAUUUGUAUUCCAUUGUCAGAGGUGAAAUUCUUGGAUUUUUGGAAGACAAACUACUGCGAAAGCAUUUACCAAGGAUGUUUUCAUUAAUCAAGAACGAAAGUUAGGGGAUCGAAGAUGAUUAGAUACCAUCGUAGUCUUAACCAUAAACUAUGCCGACAAGGGAUUGGUGGAGUUUCGUUUCGUCUCCAUCAGCACCUUGUGAGAAAUCAUAAGUCUUUGGGUUCCGGGGGGAGUAUGG